GGUUCGAUGGUGUAGUUGGUUAUCACGUCUGUCUCACACUUGGGGUACAGGGUUGUGCGCACAGGAGGUCUCCGGUUCGAACCCGGGUCGAAUCA